CGCGGCCUAUCAGCUUGUUGGCGGGGUAACGGCCCACCAAGGCGACGACGGGUAGCUGGCGUGAGAGCGUGGCCAGCCACACUGGGACUGAGACACGGCCCAGACUCCUACGGGAGGCAGCAGUGGGGAAUCUUGGGCAAUGGGCGAAAGCCUGACCCAGCGACGCCACGUGGGGGAUGAAGGCCCUCGGGUUGUAAACCCCUUUCGGCAGGGACGAAGCGAAAGUGACGGUACCUGCAGAAGAAGCCCCGGCUAACUACGUGCCAGCAGCCGCGGUAAGACGUAGGGGGCGAGCGUUGUCCGGAUUUAUUGGGCGUAAAGCGCGCGCAGGCGGCUCGUUAAGUCGAGUGUGAAAGCCCGGGGCUCAACCCCGGGAUGUCGCCCGAUACUGGCGAGCUGGAGGCAGGCAGGGGAGAGUGGAAUUCCCGGUGUAGCGGUGAAAUGCGCAGAUAUCGGGAGGAACACCGGUGGCGAAGGCGGCUCUCUGGGCCUGACCUGACGCUCAGGCGCGAAAGCUGGGGGAGCGAACUGGAUUAGAUACCCAGGUAGUCCCAGCCGUAAACGUUGGGUGCUAGGUGUGGGGGGAUAUCGACCCCUUCCGUGCCGAAGCUAACGCAUUAAGCACCCCGCCUGGGGAGUACGG
rnacentral:rRNA from 1 species